rnacentral:rRNA from 1 species
GAUGAACGCUGGCGGCGUGCCUAAUACAUGCAAGUCGAGCGAACAGACGAGGAGCUUGCUCCUUUGACGUUAGCGGCGGACGGGUGAGUAACACGUGGGUAACCUACCUAUAAGACUGGGAUAACUUCGGGAAACCGGAGCUAAUACCGGAUAAUAUUUCGAACCGCAGGGUUCGAUAGUGAAAGAUGGCUUUGCUAUCACGUAUAGAUGGACCUGCGCCGUAUUAGCUAGUUGGUAAGGUAACGGCUUACCAAGGCAACGAGUCGUAGCCGACCUGAGAGGCUGGUCGGCGACACUGGAGCGGGGCCGCGGUCCUGACGCCUGCGGUAGGCCGCAGUCGCGUACCUUCCGCAAUGGUCGGAAGCCUGACGGAGCAGGGCCGCGUGAGUUACGGCGGCCUUCCGUUCGUAAAACUCUGUUACUAGGGAAGAACCACCUUGUAAGUAACUGUGCACGUCUUGACGGUACCUAAUCAGAAAGCCCCGGCUAACUACGUG